GUGGUGCUUUCAAAAAAAAUAAGUGAUCUUAUUGAUAAGUGCUUAACAAAGAACACCCGGAAAUCGUACUAGGCUGUCGAAGGCUAAGGAAACUGUGACAAAAGAUUUGGUUGGAAAAGCAUACUGUUAAGGAAACUAGGAUUGUCUAGGCCGAACAAAAAGGAAUUGCGCAAAAUUAUAUAUCGUCCUCCUGAAGGUCUUGAAUCAUUUGAUUCUAAUAGGCUAAGAUAUUUUUAGUGGGAUUCAUACCUUUUUAAAGAUUUGCCGUCAGAUUUCAGGGUAGAGAAUGUUGUUGAACUUGUAAUGGCGUGAGAGCCAACCAAUGGAGCUAAAAUGGGAUGAGGACCAGGUCCAUCUGAAGUUAAAGAAGUUGGAUCUUGGAUAUUCUGAGUACCUUUUUCAAUUACCAAACUUGAGUGGGGCUAUAAAUCUUGAACGUAUAAAUCUUAAGGGUUGCAAAAGUUUGGUUGAAAUUCCUUCAUUUUUUAAGGAUCUCAACAAGCUUAAGUAUCUAAAUCUGAGUGAUUGCGUCAAGCUGGAAGAUGGCAUAGAAAACCUUCCAUUGAGUAUAAGGGAUUUAAAAUUGCGUUGGACAGCAAUUAUAAGUCUACCGGAAAGCAUUUGGAAGAUGAAAUAUCUCAAGGAGCUGGAUCUUUCUCAUUGCCAAAAGCUGGAAAAGCUUCCAGAAAUCCCGGAGGAUUGUACAAGUUCAUCUCUUGGAUAGUUGAAUAUAACUGGUUGUGGGAGAUUGAAAACAAUACCAGAGCUUCCACCAUGUUCAUCUAAUAUCGAUACAGUGUGUUGCACCUCACUGGAGACAAUAUCACGUUGGACUUGGAUGACUCCAACUGCAAAAGAAGAAAGACGUUACGUUUAUAAUUUAGCCUUUGUCUGAAAUUGGAUAGCAACUCAGGCAACCACGAAAUUGCUGAUCACAGGGGAACUUUGGUUGCUCAGGAUGUAGAUGUAAAAGGAAAAAGACAUUACAUUUAUAAUUUUAGCCGUUAUCUAAAAUUGGAUAGCAACUCACGCAACCAAGUGAAUUGUUGAUCGCACUAGAACUUUGAUUGCUCAGGAUCUGGAUGAUAUUUCAAAUCUUGAAACGGUGUAUCCAGGAGAUGAGAUUCCAGAGUGGUUCAGCCAUAAAACGGAUCGUGGGAACUCAUUCGAUAUCCAGCUUCCUCCAAAUUGGUUUAAUAUUAAUGAUUCCCGCUUUGAUUUUAUCUUUUACAUUGUUUUGUGUAUAGCUGUUCUACAAAAGCUGAGACCCGAUUCAAAUUAAAUUUGAAAACCAACAACAUUAACAGUGAUGAUGACCGUGUUUAUAAUUAUGAUGGUUGUUGGUUGCCUCAUAUUGGAAGUAAAGAUGAAGAUCACGUCUUAAUUAGGUGCAAGGGGUCGGUUUGGAACGUGCAUUUGGGGCAAAGUGGUCCUCUAUUUGUAGCAACUUCACCCAAGUUUUCUAUCUGUGUGUUUAUCGAGGAAGAAGAUGUGAAAUGGGAGAUCAAAAAGUGUUGGUUUAAAUUGUUAAAUGGGUGGAGUGGAAGUAAAAGACGGUUGGAUGAGGAUCCUAACAUCCAACUCCAAGAAGAUAAAUUAAUUGAAAGUAAAUGAAAAUCAUGCAUUCUAUUGGUAUAUUUAUUUGGCUUCUUUUUUGUUGUUUGAGCUGCAUGGUUUAGAAGUCAUAAAAUUCCACUCUCAAAUAUUGAACUGUCACUGAUUAUUCUUAAUCUUGGAACACGGCGGACAGUUAGUUUUGAAUUGGAUGAUUUAUUUAGAUUAAUCUGGUUAGUCAUGCAUGCUCUUGUCAACCUACCCUCUUUCUCUGUUUCUGGUGGUAAAGCUGUAUCAGUAAAUUGAUAUGAUUUUGUUUUGCUUGUUGUCAUUGAACAGAUUAUGUGAAGUUCAUAGAAUAACUUCAGCAGACCAGACACAUUGAUGGCUCCUAUUUUAGUUUAGGAUUCUCAAGAAGAUAUGGAAAUGCAAAUUUAUGUAAUAUCUAUGCUACUGUACAAGUAGAAAAUUCAUGUGCUGCUUUUGUUGUCAUUUUUGUUUUUGGCUAUUUUAACGGAGUUGGGAGAACACAUAUUGCAUCUCAAUGCUUUCUUAUACUAUUUAAUGGCCAUAUAUACAUUUGUUCUA